rnacentral:tRNA from 1 species
GGGGCCGUAGUUUAGUCGGGAGAACGCUUCCUUUGCAAGGAAGAGGUCAGGGGUUCGAAUCCCCUCGGCUCCA